AACGAACGCUGGCGGCAGGCCUAACACAUGCAAGUCGAGCGGGGACUUCGGUCCUAGCGGCGGACGGGUGAGUAACGCGUGGGAACAUGCCCUUUGCUUCGGAAUAGCCCCUGGAAACGGGGAGUAAUACCGGAUGUGCCCUAUGGGGGAAAGAAUUUCGGCAAAGGAUCGGCCCGCGUUGGAUUAGGUAGUUGGUGGGGUAAUGGCCUACCAAGCCGACGAUCCAUAGCUGGUUUGAGAGGAUGAUCAGCCACACUGGGACUGAGACACGGCCCAGACUCCUACGGGAGGCAGCAGUGGGGAAUCUUAGACAAUGGGCGCAAGCCUGAUCUAGCCAUGCCGCGUGAGCGAUGAAGGCCUUAGGGUUGUAAAGCUCUUUCGUGGGGGGAAGAUAAUGACGGUACCCCAAGAAGAAGCCCCGGCUAACUCCGUGCCAGCAGCCGCGGUAAU
rnacentral:rRNA from 1 species